UCUCCACUCUGUGUGGAUCUCUUCUGCAUGCUAGCUUCAUAAUGUUGAAUGGCGGCAUCUAGGGCCUGCACAAGGGAGUGAACUUCAGAAAAAUAGUUAUACCUAACAAAACCAACUUCGACUAAUUAUAUGUCUUAAUU